CAUUGUAUUUCCAAAACGCCCAAUAUGUAAUUUUCUGAUAUUACGUUAUACGAUAGUUAUUAUAAUUAUAAUUUGGGUUCUACAAUUAUUUCUCAAAUUGAUCUUAGUUGUUUACAUUUAACAUAUAGAAUUUAUAAUGCGGCCUAAAAGUGAUGUUUAGCAAGUUUUUGAAAAAGAUGAGAAAUGUAUUAAAUGCAGGUUAUGUUUGGCAGAGAUUAAAACAUGUGAAAACACAAUUAAUUUAACAUCUCACCUAAAGAGACAUCACCCAGAUUUCCCUUUAAAAAAGAAAUCUAAGCAAAUAAAGUUGACUGAUGCAACAAGUAACGAAAAUGAUAUACAAAGUGAUAAUAAUUUUUCAUGUAAUAAGAAUAUUUCUAUGUUUCAACCCAAGCAAGUAGAUUUGAAACAGAAAUCUAAUAUAGAAUCAGAUAUAGAUUCUAUUUCAGAAACCUCGUUCAUUAUCAGCUAAUUAAGUCAAGUAUCGACAACCUCUAAUCAAUGAAAGCUUUUCAAAUAUAAAGUCAUUUUCAGAUGGAGGAACAAAAGCACAUAAAAUAACUAACAGAUUGAUAUAUAUGAUUUGUAAAGAUAAUUUGCCAUUAAAUACUACUGAAAAAGAAGGAUUCAGGUACUUCAUGCAAGGUGUGGAACCAUUAUAUAAAAUUCCAGGAAGUAAAGCAAUGACAUCUAUGAUAGAUGAAAAAUAUAAUUCUCUUUCUAAAAUUACUAAAGAAAAAAUAUCAAAAGUUUCUUCUUUAACAAUUACUACUGAUGUGUGGACUGAAACUUUAAAUACAAAAAGCUUUUUAGGUAUAAUUUGUCAUUUUUUAAAUAAUGAUAUAAAUCGAGAGUCACAUAAAUUAAACAGUGUUACUACAGAACUACUAUUAUAGAACUUGAUAAAAAACACGAUUCUGAUUAUUUGGCAAGUAAAAUUAUAUCAGUUUGUGAAGAGUGGAAUAUCCAGCCUGAAAAUAUAACAACUAUUGUUACUGACAACGCGAGAAAUAUAAUUAAAGCUGUCACAGAUAUUUUUGGCAAAAAUAAAUCCACCCCAUGCUUUGCACAUACUUUGAACUUGGUUGUGGAAAAAACAUUAGAGACUUCUGAAGAACUUAAAUUUAUUGUUAAUAAUGUAAAAAGUAUAGUGACUUAUUUUAAACAGUCUGUUAUAACAGCAGAUCAAUUACGCAAUGCACAACCAAAAGAUAAACAAUUAAAACUUAUACAAUCUGUUCCAACCAGAUGGAAUUCGACUUUUUACAUGCUGGAAAGAUUUCUUUCUCUUUCUGAAUAUAUAAUGCCAAUUUUACUUCGAAAUGUAAAUGCUCCUGAUUAAUAGAACACAGAUGAAUAUUUUGAAAGAAAUAUUACAAAUACUUUCUCCAUUAGAAAAAGUUUCCAAAGAAACAUGUGGAGAAAAUAUCUUACUGCAAGUAAGAUAAUUCCAAUAAUUAAUUGUUUGCAUAAACAACUUGAAAAUUUAGAAUCUAUUUCAAAAGAAGCUAUUGCUGUAAGAAAUAUUACAAUAUCUGAAUUAAAGAAACGUUUCGGUGUUAUUGAACAAAUAAAAUUACUAUCUUUAUCAACAUUAUUAGAUUCACAAUUCAAAAAAAUACACUUUAAUAAUCCACUAGCAUGUACACAGGCUAAUAUAACCAUUAACGAAUUAUAUAAAGAAUCAUUUACAGCUAAAGGAAUUGAACAAGAUUCUGAACCAUUAAUAUCUAUUAUAGAUAAAGAAAAGGAAAACGUAGUAAAUGAAAGUCUUUAAACUUAUCACGAGAAAUUAACUUCAAAAUCAAAAUAUAAUGAAAAAGAAAGUAUGAAAUCUGGGUGUAUAUCAGUUGGACACGGGGCAAUUGGACACAGUCCAAUCACAAGUCGCUGUUCCAAGGACCCUACAAAUGUCUCUAAUCACACGGUGCUAUGAUUGGCUGUGUCCAAAUGCACCGUGUCCAAAUGCACCGCUCCCAUGAAAUCUAAUGGACUUUGCUUAGAAGUAAAAAGUUAGAUAAAUUCUAGCGUGAUACUUUUUAAACAUGAUCCAAUAGAAUAUUGGAGAUUACAGACAAAUCAAUUUUUUAAACAGAUUGCUUUUAAGCAUAUUUCAAUUAAUGGUACUUCAGUACCUUCUGAAAAGUUGUUUUCCAAAGCUGGAAUCAUAAUGACAGAAACUCGUAGUCACUUACAGGGAAAACGACUAUCUAAACUUUUGUUUUUAAGUUCUUUAAAACUGAACAAAUGGUAUUAAAACUUUCUCGUAAUUGUUUAUUGAAGUCUAAGUGUUCUUUUUGUUUUAUUUUUCUUUAAAUUUCUGUGGAAAAUUAUUGUACUUGGUUUCCGGAUGAUACAGUGUUAUUUAUGAAUUUGUAUUCGACAUUUCGUAAACAUUUUAAUUCAUUUUUUCUGUUUACUUUUUUCUCAGAAAUAAUUUAGGUAGUUCCUCUUUCUGAAGAAGUGAACAUAAAUGUUUACGAAACUUCGUAAAUAAUUCCAUAAAGUCAUGUCGGAAAUUAAAUACAGUAAUUUUCCAAAAAGCACAGAUAAAAUAAUCUUUAAUUUAUUUUAAUUCAUUUUAUUUUUCUUUUUAUCUUAUAUUAAGUAGAAAUUUUAAGUAGAAAUUUUAUUUUCCAUUUAAGUAGAAAUUUUAAGUAGAAAUUUUAAGU